rnacentral:misc_RNA from 1 species
AAGACUAUAGACCUGCGGAGUACCUGCGGAAGGAUCAUUAUUGAAUAAACUUGGAACAAGUUGUUGCUGGCUUCAAAAAAAAAGAAAGCAUGUGCACGCUUGCUCCAUUUUUUUUUUCAAAAACCUCUUGUGCAUCUGUGUAAAUCUGAACCACUUCGAGACAAAGUGAACCCACUUUACUCGGUCUUGAGAAUUGUCAUGCCACAAGGCGAGGCUUUUCUUGUUUUCAGAUUUAUGUAU